rnacentral:rRNA from 1 species
GCUUGUCUCAAAGAUUAAGCCAUGCAUGUAUAAGUAUAAACGCUUUAAGCGUGAAACCGCGAACGGCUCAUUACAACAGCUAUAAUUUACUUGAUCUUGACAAACUUACAUGGAUAACUGAGGUAAUUCUUGAGCUAAUACAUGCACCAAAGCUUUGACCGUAAGGGAAGAGCGCAUUUAUUAGAACAAAACCAAACGGCUUCGGCUGUUCCCAGUUGAAUCAGAAUAACUCAGCUGAUCGUACGGUCUUGCACCGACGACGUGUCUUUCAAGUAUCUGCUUUAUCAACUUUCGAUGGUAGGGUAUCUGCCUACCAUGGUGGUGACGGAUAACGGAGGAUCAGGGUUCGACUCCGGAGAAGGGGCCUGAGAAAUGGCCACUACGUCUAAGGAUGGCAGCAGGCGCGCAAAUUACCCACUCUCAGAAUUUGGAGGAGGUAGUGACGAGAAAUAACGAGGUUGAUCUCUUCUGAGGCCAACCAUCGGAAUGGGUACAAUUUAAACCCUUUAACGAGUAUCUAUGAGAGGGCAAGUCUGGUGCCAGCAGCCGCGGUAAUUCCAGCUCUCAAAAUGCAUAGAAUUAUUGCUGCGGUUAAAAAGCUCGUAGUUGGAUCUGCAGCCGGAGCUCCGGUCCAUCUUCGGAUGUGUACUGGAUGUCUUCGGCUUUCUGACAGUGUUCGGCUCUGUGCCUCUAACCAGGUGUGGAUGUCCGAUACUGUAGGUUUACUUUGAAUAAAUCAGAGUGCUCUAAACAGGCGUUUUGCUUGAAUGAUUGUGCAUGGAAUAAUAGAAGAGGAUAUCGGUUCUAUUUUAUUGGUUUUAUAGACUGAGAUAAUGGUUAACAGAGACAAACGGGGGCAUUUGUAUGGCUACGUGAGAGGUGAAAUUCUUGGACC